rnacentral:rRNA from 1 species
GGAUUCAACGCCGGAAAUCUCGAACCGGGGCGACAGCAAUAUGAAGGUCAGGCUGAAGACCUUACCCGAUUAGCUGAGAGGUGGUGCAUGGCCGUCGUCAGUUCGUACUGUGAAGCAUCCUGUUAAGUCAGGCAACGAGCGAGACCACGUCCACAGUUGCCAGCAUACCCUCCGGGGUGAUGGGUACACUGUGGAGACCGCCGCUGCUAAAGCGGAGGAAGGAGUGGGCAACGGUAGGUCAGUAUGCCCCGAAUCUCCCGGGCUACACGCGGGCUACAAUGGUUGGUACAAUGGGCAUCUACCCCGAAAGGGGAAGGAAAUCUCUUAAAGCCAAUCGUAGUUCGGAUUGAGGGCUGUAACUCGCCCUCAUGAAGCUGGAAUCCGUAGUAAUCGCGUUUCAACAGAACGCGGUGAAUACGUCCCUGCUCCUU